rnacentral:lncRNA from 1 species
AUGUGCCGCACUGCUGAAGUCAUUGACAUGAGAAUGAGAGCAAUGGAAAUCGAAAACCCAUGCUCCGACGUUGAUACUCUUCACGCUGUUGCUAGGCAGACAUUCAGACAAAACCAAUCGAGGCAGAGUAAUUCACCACGAACGGUGAACACAGUGAGCCCCGUAGCAUGUAAAUACUGUGGGAAUACAUACACACGUGGCAAAGAGCACUGCCCUGCCUACGGAAAACCAUGCAGAGCUUGUGGAACUAAUAAUCACUUUGCAAAAGUGUGUCUCAAUAGCAAAAGAAGGGUGAUUGAGGGCAAGAUUCACUGUGUUGAUGAUGUCACUCAAUGUUCAGAGCUGAACAAUGAAAGUGACAUUUACAUGCAUGAAUCCAUUGGGGCUGUACACUCAAGAGGGAAGAAAUGGUUUGUGACACUACGAUUACACAACAAGCAACAACAAUGUCAACUGGAUUCCGGUGCUACAUGCAACAUAAUGAGCUACAAAGAGAAAAUCAAUCUGGCACCUGACACACAUCUAUUGCCCAGCGAUACUAGACUAAACCUGUACUCAGGAGAGCUAAUGAGCUCUAUGGGCACCUUUGAGACUGAAUGUGUUAUUCGGGGACGCAAACACAAGCUGGAGUUUGAGAUUGUGAAAACCAGUCAACAUCCUCUCCUCUCAGGCUCUACAUGUGAAUACCUGGGACUGAUACAGUUCACUGUACCAAAUGACCUGCACAUUGUGGAUCAUGUCCAGCAUGUACCCCUGUCCAAAGAACAACUACUCAGCAGAUAUGACGAUGUAUUCAACAUGCCCGUUGAAUCUGUGCCUGGGGAGGUACACUUUGAAGUGGAUGAGAGCAUCACUCCAGUCCAGUGUGCUCCUCACAAUUUUCCCAUUGCAAUGAAAGUGGCUGUGAAGGCCCAGCUGGACAAGUAUGAGGCCAAUGGCCACAUGACAUCUGUGACUGAACCAACUGACUGGAUCAGCAAUAUGGUCAUAGUGAAAAAACCAGAGAAGCUGAGGGUCUGCAUCGACCCAAAGCAUCUGAACCAAGCACUGAAACGAUCCCACUUCUGA